rnacentral:snRNA from 1 species
GUGCUCACUUUAGCAGCACAUAUGCUAAAAUUGAAAUGAUACAGAGUAGAUUAGCAUGGCCCCUGCACAAGGAUGACAUACAAAUUUGUGAAGUGUUCCAUUAUUUU